AAUUCCAUUUGGAGAAAAGCAAGGUUUUACACCUAGGCAGGAAGAACCAAAGGUACAAAUACGGAUUAGGCGAAACCUGGCUCAAAAAACAGUAACUGUGAGAGGGACUUUGGAGU